rnacentral:tRNA from 1 species
GCCCAGGUGGUGGAACUGGUAGACACGCGAGACUUAAAAUCUCGUGCCCUCUAAAGGCGUGUGGGUUCGAUUCCCGCCCUGGGCACCA